rnacentral:rRNA from 1 species
GCUUGUCUCAAAGAUUAAGCCAUGCAUGUCUAAGUAUAAACGAAUCUAUACUGUGAAACUGCGUACGGCUCAUUAAACCAGUUAUAGUUUAUUUGAUAUUCCCCUACUACUCGGAUAACCGUAGUAAUUCUAGAGCUAAUACGUGCGUAAAGCGGCAUAUGCCGUGUCAUUAUUAGAUAAAGCCAACGCUGGGUAAAACCAGUUUCCCUUGGUGAUUCAUAAUAAUUAAGCGGAUCGCAUGGCCUUGUGCUAGCGACAGUCCACUCGAUUUUCUGCCCUAUCAUGGUUGAGAUUGUAAGAUAGAGGCUUACAAUGCCUACAACGGGUAACGGGGAAUUAGGGUUCGAUUCCGGAGAGGGAGCCUGAGAAACGGCUACCACAUCCAAGGAAGGCAGCAGG